rnacentral:ncRNA from 1 species
CAGAUAAAAUUGCGUUAUUGUUGCUAUUUUUUUUUAGACGAACAAUAAUAGAACUCGAAUAACAUUGAGUAAAUGAUUUUUUC